GAGGAACCUGUCGUUGCUUUCUACCUUCAGACCCGAAACGUUGUGAGCUUUAAGACCAUGCUGUACUCCAACAGGCAACAUCUGUCCUCAACACUGUGUAUCGCGCUUGGCUUCAGGUCCGUUUCUACACAGUCGGUGAUCUGACACACACAGCGCUGCUAGAGAAAGGAGACAUCCCCAACACAGCACCAUAUUGAUGACAGAGUGAGAGUGAUGGGAUGCAAGGAGAAGAUAUUAUCCCGCUGCUGUUCUAUAUAGACGGGCCGAUAGCAUGAGGAAAACUGGAGCUACGAGUGCACACUACAACAAAUAAGACGGAGAGGUGCUGCAAAAUGCGCCAUGGGUUAUCUUUACUCCUCGUCAUAACUCUUUGUGGCAGCCUGUUCUUAAUCUACCACGCUGGUUUCCAUGGUACCACCAACGCGGCGGAGAGGUCCAGAGAUGGGAGUGAUGUAGCGAGAAGAAGAUGGCAGACUGAGCAGCAGCAGACCACCAGUACCCCACCUCCUCGCCCUACAGUCCUACAGGGAUACAGCGGUAUCAUCGACCACAAGAGAUGAUUAUUCCAGUCGGCGCGACGCACAAAGAAUCCAGGUGGCUGUACCGUCUCCGACAGCAUAUCCCGAGAGGGACAUGUUUCCGAGACAUGUUUCCGAACAGAAUAUGUUACAAUCCCUGAUAUGUCCCUGGAAGCAACCCUUGCCCUAACUUCGACUACCGGGAAAGUCGUAUUCCUGGUUGUAUUCCUGGUCGUAGUUCUGGUUGUAGUACUGGUCGUAGUCCUGGUCGUUGUCCUGGUUGUAGUGCUGGUCAUAGUCCUGGUCGUAGUCCUGGUUAUAGUGCUGGUCAUAGUGCUGGUCAUAGUCCUGGUCGUAGUGCUGGUCGUAGUCCUGGUCGUAGUCCUGGUCGUAUUCCUGGUACAGUUCAUACAGUUCCUCCCGGCUAUAGUUCUUCCUGGCUUAUAUCCAGUAGUUCAUCCUGGUUUAUACCCAGUAGUUCUUCCUGGCUUAUAUCCAGUAGUUCAUCCUGGCUUAUAUCCAGUAGUUCAUCCUGGCUUAUAUCCAGUAGUUCUUCCUGGCUUAUAUCCUAUAGUUCAUCCUGGCUUAUAUCCAGUAGUUCUUCCUGGCUUAUAUCCAGUAGUUCUUCCUGGCUUAUAUUCAAUAGUUCUUACCAGCUGUAUGUAAUAAGACUCAAGAUUUCCUGGGGUAACAAUGUAAUAAAUAAUACAUUAAAAAAAACAAAAUACUGCAAAGUUUCCUAAGAACUAAAAGCGAGGCAGCCCUCUCUGUCGGCGCCCAGAUCACAAAGGGAAACUCAGCCGCAAGCUGUCCAGUACCGCACGCCUACCAGACGAGUUAAAUACCUGUCAUGCUCGUUUCGAGGCUAGCAACACUGGACCAUGCAAGACAGCACCUGCUGACGCUCUCACGCUCUCCGUAACCAAUUUUUUGUAAGUCCUUUAAACAGGUUAACAUUCACAAGGCUACAGGGCCAGGCUGACUAUUUGGCAACUGCUUGGCAUCUGACCGCAAUGUGCUACAGUACAGAGGUUAAUGCAUACGACCCAGUAUGUGCUACAGUACAGAGGUUAAUGCAUACGACCCAGUAUGUGCUACAUUACAGAGGUUAAUGCUUACGACCCAGUAUGUGCUACAGUACAGAGGUUAAUGCUUACGACCCAGUAUGUGCUACAGUACAGAGGUUAAUGCUUACGACCCAGUAUGUGCUACAGUACAGAGGUUAAUGCUUACGACCCAGU
ensembl:lncRNA